rnacentral:sRNA from 1 species
GGGCGGCUGAUCAAACAUCUCUAACCUGAUGCACUGACGAUACCCAGUUACAAAGAAAGACCAACCAUUUCAACGUAAGGGGAAAUUUUAGAGUGUCGGCUGAGUAGAAUAAAUUACUUGGCUACAUAACAGGGGGUGUUGAGCUCAAAUCCAGAUGUAGAUAUCAGCAUGUAAACCGUUUUACAGAUCCUUCCCCCCCCCUAUCAACAAAAGUGAAUAAAUCACAGCAUGCUAUGGCUUAUGACUGGAGUUACAAAAUAUCAAAAAUGAAAACUAAAAAAAAAAAUAAUUUUCGUUUCUCUAAAAUCAGCAAAUGGCGACAACCCAACCACUUCUAAUGAAUUUUUUUUUUAAAAAUAGGAUAAUAAUGUUGGAGCAAUCUGCGAACCGAAUAAGUGUUCAAUCUUCCCGUGCAAGUUAGGUCUGAAGUUUCUACAAGAACAGAAAAAGAGCUCAAAUCUUCUGACUGGGAGGGCAGUGAGCAGGGUUUGAACUUUGACCAUCGUGACGCCAGUAUAGUAUACCUCACGAGCAGGCACCAAAGGCAAGGGGAGUGAACAACUACUCUUCUCCUCAUCAACCAGCAAUUAUCUCCUCAUGCAUGCAUGAUUACAGAUUGGUGAUAUCUUAUGUUGAUGUAUCUUAGAAACAGAUUUGGCAUUGUGUUUCAAUAAAAUGAAAUCUUACGA